UUUCACAUAAUAUUAAGUAAAAUUAUAUUAAUUAAUGGGUACAUUCACAUAUUUACGUUGUAUUUACUUAGUUAAGAAUGGAUCUUUCUGCAUUGGUCACCAGGCAGUGUUUGAAAAUAAAAACAAUGAUGUAUUGUAUUUAAACAUUUUAAUGCAAAACAUUUAAAAAAUAAAUUUAUAAUCCCAGUUAUGUGUUUUCAUAAAUUACAUAUAUUCAUAUUAGCCAUAUCAUACUGUACAGCGUACAUUACGAGUUGGUAAGGUAUCGACUGACAGAGUUUUAGGAUUUCCAAUGUUUGAUUGCAGCUAAUGUUUAAUUUAAUAAUAUUACAUUAAAUUUUAUUUUCUACCAAUGUUUGUACUAAUUUCUCAUCAUCAACCUAAAAUAAAGUCAUCGUCAAACACUCGUGACCGGCCUAUUGAGAUUUUCUUGGUAGCUUGGAGCCUGGGCCUGACUAUAACAAUGUUACGUGCCAUACAAAUCAUAAAAGACAUUACCUAAUGACAAACUAUGAUCAAUCGAUAAUCAUUAGGUUUUAGAUUUGAAAAUUGAAUAAUACUAUAUGACUUUAUUGUUGGCCACUAUUUACCUAUAAAAAUUAUUUUGGAUUUAUUGCAUCGUCUUAAGAGAGUAAUAGUCUUAACAAAGUAGUAAUACAAAGUAUUCAUUAAAUGAUCAUAGUUGUAUUUUUAGGUAUUAUAUCAUAUUCAAUUUAAUUUGUAAGACCAAUACUAUGGAUUCUAAAAACAUGAAUAUUAUUUAAGUGUUUAAGAAUUGUGAUUAAUUUUAUAUUAAAGUAAAAUUUGAAUAUUUAA